GGGCCCGCACAAGCGGUGGAGCAUGUGGUUUAAUUCGAAGCAACGCGAAGAACCUUACCAGGUCUUGACAUCCCUUGCAAGUUCAAGAGAUUGAAUGUUCCCUUCGGGGACAAGGUGACAGGUGGUGCAUGGUUGUCGUCAGCUCGUGUCGUGAGAUGUUGGGUUAAGUCCCGCAACGAGCGCAACCCUUAUUAUUAGUUGCCAGCAUUAAGUUGGGCACUCUAAUGAGACUGCCGGUGAUAAACCGGAGGAAGGUGGGGAUGACGUCAAAUCAUCAUGCCCCUUAUGACCUGGGCUACACACGUGCUACAAUGGAUGGUACAACGAGUCGCGAGACCGCGAGGUCAAGCUAAAUCUCUUAAAAGCCAUUCUCAGUUCGGACUGUAGGCUGCAACUCGCCUACACGAAGUCGGAAUCGCUAGUAAUCGCGGAUCAGCACGCCG
rnacentral:rRNA from 1 species